CAGAGAAGUUGCUAAGACACUGUCCCGCUCCUCCAGCUAAGGUUCACAGGUUCAUGGACAGGGAUAGCUUUUGCACCAAGAUAGACUACAUCCAGAUUCUCAGCAUACCUAGUGUGGACGACACGGAAUCACGGAAUCAUAAAACACGGGGCUUUUUGAGGGUCAGAAGAGGAAGUCAAAGAUGAACAGCUGCUGAUUAUAGCCCUGGCUGGUCUUGCACGCCUGAUCCUAUUGUCUGAAGUCUCCUAAGCUAGGAUUUACUAAGAUGCAAUGUGAACACCUCCUUAAGCCCCUGCUGCUGUGCCUUCCCAACCAUGAUGGACUGUUUAACUGCAAGCCAAAAGAAGCUCUUCAAGUGUUUUCAUCAUACAUUUUGUCACAGCAACAAGACAAGUAAUUAAUACAAUACUUAAGGGAAAUGCCAUUUCUUUCAUCUUUCAGUCACAAGGCCAUAAAAUGGCAUUUCAAAGCAAACAAAAAUUGAGACAAUUUAACAGCAGCAGCCUAUACUAAAAGGAAUAUUAAAAAGAAUGUGAAAAGCAGUAAAGGAGACUAAGUAAGUUAGUAAAUAUUACCUAUAUUUUUAAAAAUAACACUA